rnacentral:rRNA from 1 species
GGUUAAGCGACUAAGCGUACACGGUGGAUGCCCUGGCAGUCAGAGGCGAUGAAGGACGUGCUAAUCUGCGAUAAGCGUCGGUAAGGUGAUAUGAACCGUUAUAACCGGCGAUGUCCGAAUGGGGAAACCCAGUGUGUUUCGACACACUAUCAUUAACUGAAUCCAUAGGUUAAUGAGGCGAACCGGGGGAACUGAAACAUCUAAGUACCCCGAGGAAAAGAAAUCAACCGAGAUUCCCCCAGUAGCGGCGAGCGAACGGGGAGCAGCCCAGAGCCUGAAUCAGUGUGUGUGUUAGUGGAAGCGUCUGGAAAGGCGCGCGAUACAGGGUGACAGCCCCGUACACAAAAAUGCACAUGCUGUGAGCUCGAUGAGUAGGGCGGGACACGUGGUAUCCUGUCUGAAUAUGGGGGGACCAUCCUCCAAGGCUAAAUACUCCUGACUGACCGAUAGUGAACCAGUACCGUGAGGGAAAGGCGAAAAGAACCCCGGCGAGGGGAGUGAAAAAGAACCUGAAACCGUGUACGUACAAGCAGUGGGAGCCCUGAUUUAUCAGGGUGACUGCGUACCUUUUGUAUAAUGGGUCAGCGACUUAUAUUCUGUAGCAAGGUUAACCGAAUAGGGGAGCCGGAGGGAAACCGAGUCUUAACUGGGCGUUAAGUUGCAGGGUAUAGACCCGAAACCCGGUGAUCUAGCCAUGGGCAGGUUGAAGGUUGGGUAACACUAACUGGAGGACCGAACCGACUAAUGUUGAAAAAUUAGCGGAUGACUUGUGGCUGGGGGUGAAAGGCCAAUCAAACCGGGAGAUAGCUGGUUCUCCCCGAAAGCUAUUUAGGUAGCGCCUCGUGAAUUCAUCUCCGGGGGUAGAGCACUGUUUCGGCAAGGGGGUCAUCCCGACUUACCAACCCGAUGCAAACUGCGAAUACCGGAGAAUGUUAUCACGGGAGACACACGGCGGGUGCUAACGUCCGUCGUGAAGAGGGAAACAACCCAGACCGCCAGCUAAGGUCCCAAAGUCAUGGUUAAGUGGGAAACGAUGUGGGAAGGCCCAGACAGCCAGGAUGUUGGCUUAGAAGCAGCCAUCAUUUAAAGAAAGCGUAAUAGCUCACUGGUCGAGUCGGCCUGCGCGGAAGAUGUAACGGGGCUAAACCAUGCACCGAAGCUGCGGCAGCGACACUAUGUGUUGUUGGGUAGGGGAGCGUUCUGUAAGCCUGUGAAGGUGUGCUGUGAGGCAUGCUGGAGGUAUCAGAAGUGCGAAUGCUGACAUAAGUAACGAUAAAGCGGGUGAAAAGCCCGCUCGCCGGAAGACCAAGGGUUCCUGUCCAACGUUAAUCGGGGCAGGGUGAGUCGACCCCUAAGGCGAGGCCGAAAGGCGUAGUCGAUGGGAAACAGGUUAAUAUUCCUGUACUUGGUGUUACUGCGAAGGGGGGACGGAGAAGGCUAUGUUGGCCGGGCGACGGUUGUCCCGGUUUAAGCGUGUAGGCUGGUUUUCCAGGCAAAUCCGGAAAAUCAAGGCUGAGGCGUGAUGACGAGGCACUACGGUGCUGAAGCAACAAAUGCCCUGCUUCCAGGAAAAGCCUCUAAGCAUCAGGUAACAUCAAAUCGUACCCCAAACCGACACAGGUGGUCAGGUAGAGAAUACCAAGGCGCUUGAGAGAACUCGGGUGAAGGAACUAGGCAAAAUGGUGCCGUAACUUCGGGAGAAGGCACGCUGAUAUGUAGGUGAAGUCCCUCGCGGAUGGAGCUGAAAUCAGUCGAAGAUACCAGCUGGCUGCAACUGUUUAUUAAAAACACAGCACUGUGCAAACACGAAAGUGGACGUAUACGGUGUGACGCCUGCCCGGUGCCGGAAGGUUAAUUGAUGGGGUCAGCGCAAGCGAAGCUCUUGAUCGAAGCCCCGGUAAACGGCGGCCGUAACUAUAACGGUCCUAAGGUAGCGAAAUUCCUUGUCGGGUAAGUUCCGACCUGCACGAAUGGCGUAAUGAUGGCCAGGCUGUCUCCACCCGAGACUCAGUGAAAUUGAACUCGCUGUGAAGAUGCAGUGUACCCGCGGCAAGACGGAAAGACCCCGUGAACCUUUACUAUAGCUUGACACUGAACACUGGUCCUUGAUGUGUAGGAUAGGUGGGAGGCUUUGAAGUGUGGACGCCAGUCUGCAUGGAGCCGUCCUUGAAAUACCACCCUUUAAUGGCUGGUGUUCUAACGUUGGCCCCUUACCGGGGUUGCGGACAGUGUCUGGUGGGUAGUUUGACUGGGGCGGUCUCCUCCUAAAGAGUAACGGAGGAGCACGAAGGUUGGCUAAUCCUGGUCGGACAUCAGGAGGUUAGUGCAAUGGCAUAAGCCAGCUUGACUGCGAGCGUGACGGCGCGAGCAGGUGCGAAAGCAGGUCAUAGUGAUCCGGUGGUUCUGAAUGGAAGGGCCAUCGCUCAACGGAUAAAAGGUACUCCGGGGAUAACAGGCUGAUACCGCCCAAGAGUUCAUAUCGACGGCGGUGUUUGGCACCUCGAUGUCGGCUCAUCACAUCCUGGGGCUGAAGUAGGUCCCAAGGGUAUGGCUGUUCGCCAUUUAAAGUGGUACGCGAGCUGGGUUUAGAACGUCGUGAGACAGUUCGGUCCCUAUCUGCCGUGGGCGCUGGAGAACUGAGGGGGGCUGCUCCUAGUACGAGAGGACCGGAGUGGACGCAUCACUGGUGUUCGGGUUGUCAUGCCAAUGGCACUGCCCGGUAGCUAAAUGCGGAAGAGAUAAGUGCUGAAAGCAUCUAAGCACGAAACUUGCCCCGAGAUGAGUUCUCCCUGAGACCUGGAGUCUCCUGAAGGAACGUUGAAGACGACGACGUUGAUAGGCCGGGUGUGUAAGCGCAGCGAUGCGUUGAGCUAACCGGUACUAAUGAACCGUGAGGCUUAACCUU